rnacentral:rRNA from 1 species
AUUGAACGCUGGCGGCAGGCUUAACACAUGCAAGUCGAGCGGAGAUGAGGUGCUUGCACCUUAUCUUAGCGGCGGACGGGUGAGUAAUGCUUAGGAAUCUGCCUAUUAGUGGGGGACAACAUUCCGAAAGGAAUGCUAAUACCGCAUACGCCCUACGGGGGAAAGCAGGGGAUCUUCGGACCUUGCGCUAAUAGAUGAGCCUAAGUCGGAUUAGCUAGUUGGUGGGGUAAAGGCCUACCAAGGCGACGAUCUGUAGCGGGUCUGAGAGGAUGAUCCGCCACACUGGGACUGAGACACGGCCCAGACUCCUACGGGAGGCAGCAGUGGGGAAUAUUGGACAAUGGGCGGAAGCCUGAUCCAGCCAUGCCGCGUGUGUGAGGAAGGCCUUUUGGUUGUAAAGCACUUUAAGCGAGGAGGAGGCUACCUGGAUUAAUACUCUAGGAUAGUGGACGUUACUCGCAGAAUAAGCACCGGCUAACUCUGUGCCAGCCGCCGCAGUAAAAC